rnacentral:misc_RNA from 1 species
ACGGAGGAAGGGGAUUAUCAGGUAAAACUCCGCAACCUGAUACGUUUCCUUGAAGGCGGGGAUAAGGCCAAAGUAUCACUACGAUACCGCGGUCGUGAAAUGGCCCAUCAGGAGCUUGGCAUGCAGCUUAUGAAUCGAGUCGCAAUAGACUUAGAGGAUUAUGGUGUAGUAGAACAAGCCGCGAAAAUGGAAGGUCGUCAAUUGACGAUGGUGCUAGGCCCCAAAAAGAAGAAGUAAUUUUAAAUAAUUUAGCUUUAAGAGCUUCGGCUCUUAAAGACUGAUUUAUUAAGAAAUUACACUAACAUUAACGAAUGCGAGAGUGGUUUUAUCAUGUCCAA